UUUUAAAUUUUUUUCCCGCGUGGCGAAGAAUGUCGAGAAGCAAGGAAGAAAUUCUGUAAAAUGGAGGACAAUUUUUGUCAAACCUACCUUUAUUGGAAGGUAAUAUGCUUUAUUUAAUAUCAAUCCUUGUAGUAAAGUACUUAGAUUGCCAAUAUAGAUGAAAAUUUAGGACAACGAACCCGAAUUUAAUGCGAUAUUUCGACAUAAAGUUUCUGCUUUUGCUUGCACGUGGUUCGCUUUUUGGGCGAUUGUCGAACUUUAAACCGUGUUUUAAUUCAUAAUUAUUGUCGACCAAGUGAGUUAAAAGACUAACUAAGAUCUAGAAUUGUUUAAGUUGUCGAAAAUCUCUGUCGAAUCUCUGAGUUCUUGCCGAAAAUUUUUGUAUUAUUAAUGCCGUAUACAGAGACGAGGCGCUUGGUGGGAUGAAUAUUUCAUCAGUUUGUAUAUUUCAAUCUUGCGAAAAAAUGGUGUUUUUGUUAAUUUAUAUGCAGAAAAAGCUUUGCAUCAGCAACAUUACAACGAAACAAAGUUAAUUACAAAUAGAACUAACUGAAAAUUGCUACAAUAUAAAGGCAAAAUCUAGAAAUUAUUGUGUUUCUUUACAUCGCACUGCAAGAUGGUGUAAAUUUUGAUUGGUUGGAUAACUUUCUCGGUAAGGCCACAUAAAAGAAAUUACUUGUUUAGCGUCCACCCAUUUUAAUUUUUCUAGGUCGGGCGGGCGGGGGAUUUUUGUUGUUUUUUUGUUGUUGUUUUUUCGUAAAAUGCAACACAAAAUUCUGCUAAAUGCAGGAAAUCCAGUAUAUUACCACAGUCAAAACUCACUUUAAUUCUUUCAAAAUCCGUUCAUGUUUUUUAAUACAGUUCAUGUUUUUAAUAAAACAGAAAAUUGGCAGUCACGCGCGAACACUUUAGCUGCGAACAGGGAUAUUCUGGGAAGGAAACUUUGUGUAAACGUAUUACAUAGCUCCCAGAAGAAUAAUCACCAUUUUUUCAAGUAAAACAGUCUUUUUUUAUAGAGAGUUUUUGCACUAAACUCGGAUGGAUUUAAAAAAAAUUUUUUAAAAAAUUGGAGGUCGGGGACUUUUAUCAGGUCGGGCGGGACGCUAAACAAGUAAUUUUUUUAUGUGGCCUAAGGCAUGUACUAAAAGGCGAAAACGUCGAAACAAAACGGCCAAAACCUUCAAAACGAAAAGGCCGAAAUUAAAUGGUCGAAACCACUGAAAAUAUACCCUGCUUCCAGAGGUGAAAGAAACAAGAGGCGAGAAGGAAGAGCCUCUUGUCACAUCGGUUGCAAAUCCCACUUCCACACUUGAUUAGGUUCAGAAUUUGAAUCUCGCAUUGCCAUUUGUAAAAAUAUGUCAAACUGGUUUGGGAAAUAAACAUACAUUACUGUAAGCUAAUUAUAUGGUAUCUAUUAUAGCUAUAAUUAGCUUACAGUAAUGUUUAUUUCCCAAACCAGUUUGACAUAUUUUUACAAAUGGCAAUGCGAGAUUCAAAUUCUGAACCUAAUUAAGUGUGGAAGUAGGAUUUGCAACCAAUGUGAACUCUCGUUUCUUUCACCUCGCAAAGAGCCUCUGUAACCAAGGUACUGAAAAUAUAAAUUACAGAAACAAUUCCAAAAAAUAUGUUCAUAUAUUGAGUUUUUCAUCUCACUAGCCAAGCUAUUCACACCCUCAGUAAAACUCUCAUUUAUUUUUGUAGAUGUACAGUGCAAGUUCCAAGAAUGUUGCAAGACCUCAUGGUUAUGAAAAAUGGACACAUUCCUAGAUCCUGAAUAAGAGGUAAAUGAUUUUUUUCUAAUUAUUUCUAACCUUGUAUUUCUUGGACAAUUGUCUUUGUAAUAUAUUAAUUUGUAUCAUGUUCUCAAUAGUGAUUCUUUUAAAUUUUCUAGAUGUGUGUUGCAAUUUCAAAGAAUGUCUCAAGUUGUUGGCUGAAGUGUUUUUGAUCACAAUAAUGAACACUGUCAUUGGAAAGUAUAUAAAAGGUCUUACAGGGUAAUAUUUAUAUCUUAACAUGAAAUGUUUUGAACAUUAUAUGAUUGCCUGUGAUCCAGUGGCGUAAUGGAACUUUUAAAAAGUGUGGCUGUAUUUUUUCCCAAAAAAGUUGGCAAGCAGGGGGGGAAUUUUCGAACCAUAUUCCUUAAAAACAAGGUGUUAAAAAAAUUGAACUAAAAAUUGAAAAACUAUGACAAGC